GAUGAACGCUGGCGGCGUGCCUAAUACAUGCAAGUCGAGCGAACAGAUGAGGAGCUUGCUCCUCUGACGUUAGCGGCGGACGGGUGAGUAACACGUGGAUAACCUACCUAUAAGACUGGGAUAACUUCGGGAAACCGGAGCUAAUACCGGAUAAUAUAUUGAACCGCAUGGUUCAAUAGUGAAAGACGGUUUUGCUGUCACUUAUAGAUGGAUCCGCGCCGCAUUAGCUAGUUGGUAAGGUAACGGCUUACCAAGGCAACGAUGCGUAGCCGACCUGAGAGGGUGAUCGGCCACACUGGAACUGAGCCACGGUCCAGACUCCUACGGGAGGCAGCAGUAGGGAAUCUUCCGCAAUGGGCGAAAGCCUGACGGAGCAACGCCGCGUGAGUGAUGAAGGUCUUCGGAUCGUAAAACUCUGUUAUUAGGGAAGAACAAAUGUGUAAGUAACUAUGCACGUCUUGACGGUACCUAAUCAGGAAGCCACGGCUAACUACGUG
rnacentral:rRNA from 1 species